rnacentral:sRNA from 1 species
UCUCUCUCCCUCUCUCCCUUUCCAAAUGAUUCAGAAGUCGAUAAGACCAGGAGAAGUGAAGAUGUAACAUGUUAUCUGUCGCUCCUCUUAGCUGGCGGAGAGAAUUUACAUUUAAAGAUUAGCAGAGUGAGAAAGAGAAAUCUGCCUUUUGUUGUGUGGGGUGAGGAGGAGGCAUCUACCCUGGCCUUGACGCUAUCUCCCAUCACCUCUGCUAUCCAGACAGGACUCACCGAGAUCGUACUGAGAAGCACUCCACAAUGCCAGACUCACCUGUGGAUGUGAAGACGCAAUCUAGGCUGACUCCUCCAACGAUGCCACCUCCCCCAACUACUCAAGGAGCUCCAAGAACCAGUUCAUUUACACCGACAACGUUAACUAAUGGCACGAGCCAUUCUCCUACAGCCUUGAAUGGCGCCCCCUCACCACCCAAUGGCUUCAGCAAUGGGCCUUCCUCUUCUUCCUCCUCCUCUCUGGCUAAUCAACAGCUGCCCCCAGCCUGUGGUGCCAGGCAACUCAGCAAGCUGAAAAGGUUCCUUACUACCCUGCAGCAGUUUGGCAAUGACAUUUCACCCGAGAUAGGAGAAAGAGUUCGCACCCUCGUUCUGGGACUAGUGAACUCCACUUUGACAAUUGAAGAAUUUCAUUCCAAACUGCAAGAAGCUACUAACUUCCCACUGCGACCUUUUGUCAUCCCAUUUUUGAAGGUAUUGCACAGUUCGCUGGUCUGUAAAGUAUUUUAAACCAUAUCGUUGCUAGGUCAUAACUGUGUGUUUUUUUAGGGAGGGGUCAGUAGUACAUUUAGGGGCUCUUUGAUUUAAUUUAAUGGAUGAAAACUAUCUGAAUUGAUUGUAUUUAUGACCAUUUCCUAAGUAGUUUGAAAAUUACAAGGAGUGUUUUAAAUAAUUACCUGAAAAGAAGUAAAGUUUGAAGAAGAGUUUAGAAGUCUCUUUGAAUAAAGGUUUUGUUCAUUUCUUUGGUCACAUGAGAUAUGAGUUGUUUUACAUUUUGCUUGUCUUUAGAGUGAGCAGAAGAUUGGUUAAGCUUUGUAGUUGUUCAGGAUUUUUUUAUCCUCCUAAUUUUAUCUUUGUAACAACUUAACGGGAAGAUCAGACCCUCAUUCUUUUGUGCCAGUGAAGAAGUUGGGAGUAAGUGACAUGUCCAAGGUGUGCCUGGCUGAGGACUGAUUGAGGUGUGGGAUUCGAAAUGGUUUUUAAGUCUCUGCUGUGAGCUUUCUGUCUCCUCCAACUGCUGCCACUUCAGUAAAGCAACUGGAAAACAAGCAAACAUAAAGUUCACAAGAGAAAGAAGGAACAUUUUUAUUCAGCAUAGCGGGUAGUUAAUUCACUGAUGGAUACUAAAAGAACUGAUAGUUUUGGUAGAAAAGCAGAUUACUAAGAUCCCUUUUACUUGGGUAAGCAUAUUGCUUGGGCAUAGUGGAUUCUCAAUAAGUUUAUACUAACAGUGGGCUUAGCAGAUUGAUAAAUGUGAAAGUUUCAUUUGCACUCCCCUUUGAAGGUCACUUUCAAAAUGAGCACUCAAGGAAGCCUCUGAUUUAAUUAUUUGCCAAGGAGGAUUUGCCUUUCUGUCUGGUUCCUAGAACUUUGUUUGGGAGACACCAGAAAUAUAGCUGAUCAGAUCCUGUGUGAAAUUUCAUCUAUUUUUAAAACUAUAUCAGACACAUAAGGUUCAAAUAAGUAUCCAGAAGCCUAGAAAGGUUUGUCUGAAAUAAGCCCCAAUUCUGAACUUUCUGGAUAUUAGUCUUUCUUGUGGUUAUUAUUAAGGUGAAAUGAAAUAUUCUGCUUUGUGAGUACCUACAAACCAGAAAUUAGAUCUGUUUGUGUGGAAACCCAGAUUUCAAUUAUGUUCUUUUCGUUCUUUUCUAAGUUGUACGUUUAAGGUUAAAGGUAUAAUAUGUUAGUGUUUUCUCCCAAAAUGGCUUAUACUAUAAUACUAUAUUCUUAUUUAAAAGCAAAUUGUUUGUUGAACAAUUUGAACAAGUUUGUUGAGACUAGAAUCUUUGCCUUUCUCAGAAGGGUUGUUUUCUAUAAAGAUUUCAUCAUAUGAAUGCCAUUUCC